AUACGUAGGGGGCGAGCGUUGUCCGGAAUGAUUGGGCGUAAAGGGCGCGUAGGCGGCUUUGCAAGUCAGUAGUGGAAGUCCAUUUUUCAAGGAUGGAAGUGCUACAGAAACUGCGGAGCUUGAGUGCAGGAGAGGUUAUCGGAAUUCCCGGUGUAGCGGUGAAAUGCGUAGAGAUCGGGAGGAACACCAGUGGCGAAGGCGGGUAACUGGACUGCAACUGACGCUGAGGCGCGAAAGUGUGGGGAGCAAACAGGAUUAGAUACCCUGGUUGUCCACACUGUAAACGAUGAAUGCUAGGUGUAGGAGGUAUCGACCCCUUCUGUGCCGCAGUAAACACAGUAAGCAUUCCGCCUGGGGAGUACGGUCGCAAGAUUAAAACUCAAAGGAAUUGACGGGG
rnacentral:rRNA from 1 species